CAGCAGUAGCCGCGGGAAUACGUAGGUGGCAAGCGUUGUCCGGAAUUAUUGGGCGUAAAGGGCUCGCAGGCGGUUUCUUAAGUCUGAUGUGAAAGCCCCCGGCUCAACCGGGGAGGGUCAUUGGAAACUGGGAAACUUGAGUGCAGAAGAGGAGAGUGGAAUUCCACGUGUAGCGGUGAAAUGCGUAGAGAUGUGGAGGAACACCAGUGGCGAAGGCGACUCUCUGGUCUGUAACUGACGCUGAGGAGCGAAAGCGUGGGGAGCGAACAGGAUUAGAUACCCCCGUAGUCCCUGUCUCUUAUAA
rnacentral:rRNA from 1 species